rnacentral:rRNA from 1 species
ACCUGGGAUCCUUAGUAACGGCGAGUGAAGCGGUAAAAGCUCAAAUUUGAAAUCUGGUACUUUCAGUGCCCGAGUUGUAAUUUGUAGAAUUUGUCUUUGAUUAGGUCCUUGUCUAUGUUCCUUGGAACAGGACGUCAUAGAGGGUGAGAAUCCCGUUUGGCGAGGAUACCUUUUCUCUGUAAGACUUUUUCGAAGAGUCGAGUUGUUUGGGAAUGCAGCUCAAAGUGGGUGGUAAAUUCCAUCUAAAGCUAAAUAUUGGCGAGAGACCGAUAGCGAACAAGUACAGUGAUGGAAAGAUGAAAAGAACUUUGAAAAGAGAGUGAAAAAGUACGUGAAAUUGUUGAAAGGGAAGGGCAUUUGAUCAGACAUGGUGUUUUUUGCAUGCACUCGCCUCUCGUGGGCUUGGGCCUCUCAAAAAUUUCACUGGGCCAACAUCAAUUCUGGCAGCAGGAUAAAUCAUUAAGAAUGUAGCUACUUCGGUAGUGUUAUAGCUUUUUGGAAUACUGUUAGCCGGGAUUGAGGACUGCGCUUCGGCAAGGAUGUUGGCAUAAUGGUUAAAUGCCGCCCGUCUU